UCACCGAGCCGCUGAAGCUGCGGCCUCGUCUGCUGGCCGACUCAGUUGAGCACGCUGUAAUGUGUGCCUCAGAAGAGCCGGAGACCCGAUGCCUGCAGUCACAGCACCGAAGGUGUGCCUUUUUGCCUAUAAAAGCCAUUGUUAAAACAGGUUAUUUUGUCCUUGGAGCGAUUUAUUACAGUCUCUAGAGAUAAAAUAUGAAUAUUGAGCAAGGGUUGUGCAAACCGAAGUGGGCAACGGUUUGCUUUAAGUAGAAGAGUAAUCAAGAAAUAAUGAGUGUGCAUUCCAGUGAGGGAGAAGUUUCAGAGUAGAUUGAAAAGACUUCCUUUAUUGCGGGUUAACCCUGCACAGAGCCAGGCUGGUUAUGAUGACGGUGAGGUAGGUGGUUCCGCGUUCCUUUGCAUCUGAUUUUAUGGACCUGCAUGUGGCACUGUGACUUUCUCUGUAUUCGGGUUUUACUUUUCAUGUGUUUGCUUUGGGUCAGGACUCCAGUGUAUACAGGGCUGGAUGCCCCUGACUUACUGAUGCCAGUGAGCCUGUAAGGAAGGGAGUUAGAUACCCUGGAGGAAAGGUCAGCGUUGCAUCAAUUAAAGAUUUAAAAGGAAAUGCUUUUAAAUCUCCAUACACAUCAUGAUGACUUGCCUGUAGUUGGCCCAUUCUAUCAGCUCUUCCUGUACAAUUUUUUGAUGAACUUUUGCCUAUAGCACACAUGGGAAAUGUAUAUCCUACUGUGUCAUUAGCUGUUCAGUUCUGUGUAUAGAGCAGAGACGCAAUUUUUUUGUGUUGUCAUAUAUGAAUACAUGUAUGUCUUUAGUGUCCUUCAGUUCUCCAAGAUGUCAGUUAUAUGUUUGUUUUCGCUCACUAGUUCCAUGACUUCGGGUUGUAUUUCAUCUUGUUACAAUCAGUGAUCUAUUUAUUUUGGCAUGAAACAGUAGUUCCUAUCCAGAUGUGUUGCGAGCACAUGAAGAACAAAAUUAUGCCUAGAAUAAUUGAGACUCUCUAGGGUUGGGGGGGAGUUAUGACCUCUGUAGUUCUUAGAAUUUUACAGGUGGAUCAUGAUGGCGUGAGCAGGAGAAGGCCCACUCCAUAGAGUCAGGAAAUGUCUAACCUUUCCCCAGGCGGACCCAGUCCACCGUGCAAGCAUGCCAACAUGAAAAUAGUAGUGAUAAAAUGAGAGUAGGAGAUGAACAUAAACUUUAUUACAUAUCAACACUCGAAUUUCAAUUUUUUACAAUCACAUAUGGUACUAUUCAAAAGAUGGAAAAAUACCUUAAAUAAAUGAAAUUUUAAAACCUUAAGUAAAACCUUAGUAAUACCUCAGGGUGGUGGAAUAUUUUAAAUGUAGUUUUAUUUUUAAUUAUGUAUGUGUAUCUGUGUGGGCAUCUGUCUAUGAGUGCGGGUGCCUCCCAGGGGAGGCCAAAGAGGAUGUUGAGUCCCCCGGAAUGUAAGUUACAGGCUGUGACGAGCCGCCUGCCAUGGGUGCUGGACAAGACUACAAGAGCAGAACUUGACGGACCACCAAGUUGUCACUCCAGUCCCAGGAAGGUAAAUUGCAAAUAUUCUUAUUUACUCCUCUCUACACUUUCCAGACCCUUUGGCAGAAUUUUGAGAGAAAAAUUAAUAGCAGAAAAUGUUAACGUUUGAACACAAAGAUUAACUUCUAGUCAGAAAGCUACAUGGACACGCCAGUACCAAAGUGUUUGUCCUGUGCUGACGUGUCAAGAGGGAGUGAGUUCCCUACCGGAAUGCAGGCCAGACGAGGGCCUGCAUACACACCUGCGAACCGUGCCUCAGUGCUUCCAGCCUGGGUUUCAUAAAUAACUUAUGUCUAGACCAUUAGUCCUGUAUAUACUGAAGUGCAGCUGAUUUUAGGCUUACUAGAGUUUUCUUUUUACUGUGACUUAUCUCUGAGAAUGAAACAGUUUGGAGAAGGUUGGUUGGAAAAAUCACCCGUAUUUCUUUGGCUGACGAGGAAAUCCAACAGUGAGGUUUCAUCUCAGCCUCUCAAUCACACUCCUGAUCUCACCCUGAUCUCACGGAGGCCAUCAGGUGACUGACUGGUCUUGAAGGCAGAUGGGCUUGUGAAGAAGAUGCAAGCUUAAGCUAUGUCUGCAGAGCCAACAGGACUUGGGGUCCAUUUAUUGCAUCUGUGCCGUUUCAGAAAAGAAUCAGCGCUGACAACUUCCUCAAUUACUGAAUUAAAAAAAAGUGGCCGAGCACACAUUAUCUAAGAACUUCUCUCGGCAUCCUCAAAAGGAAAUGAAUUUAAACGGUUGAGGAGAUGUACCCGGAGCCACAUUAAGUGGUGGACUGGAAGUGCGUCUCACGUCCGUCUCGUCCUGAAACUCACCCAUCGCUGCAUUCAUCCCUUUAUCUCAAAUGAAGCCAACAUCAGGGAAACGUUCCGCGCUGCUUGGAAGACAGCUGCUCCCUGACCCUGACAGUUUUCCUAGAACACUCCUGGGCCUUUGGAGCAAGAGGGCAGCCGCCGCUUGGUGGGAUCGUUCCUGGCACCACCGUGCCGCACUUGUAUGGAGAAGGAAGGGUGGGCGGGUGCAUUCCUGGUCGCUGUAUGGCUGACGUUGGCGCACAUCCUCUUCCUCAGCAACUAAGCCGUCAUUCACUCAUAUUAAACACACUUUGCUCAAAGAGUGUUUUCAAGAAGAAAACUCUCUCUUUACAUUUCACUGCACCCUUAAGUUACACAUCUGUCCAUUUUAUUCUUGUUCUUUGUUUUUGUGUUUUCAAGACAGGGUUUCUCUGUGUAACCACCCCAGCUGUCCUGGAAUUCACUUUGUAGACCAGGCUGGCCUCCAACUCACAGAGAUCCACCUGCCUCUGCUUCCCAAAUGCUGGGAUUAAAGGCAUGUGCCACCACCCCCCUACUCCAUCCUCUUCUUAGUCUACUGGCUGGUUUCAUCUGUCAACUUGAGACUAGAGUCAUCAGAGGAAGGAGUCUCAGUUGAGGAAAUGUCUCCAUGAGAUCCAGCUGUCAGGCAUUUUCUCAAUUAAUGAUCAAUGUAGGAGGAGGGUCCACCCCAUGGUGAGUGGAGCCAUCCCUGGGCUGCUGGUCCUGGGUUCUAUAAGACAGCAGGCUGAGCAGAACAGGGGAAGCAAGCCAGUAAGCAGCACCCUCCACAGCCUCUGCAUCAGCUCCUGUCUCCAGCUUCCUGCCCUGUUUGAGCUCCUGUCCUGACUUCCUUCAGUGACGAAUGGCGAUGUGGCAGCGUAAGUAAACCAAAGAAACCCCUUUUUCCCCAACUUGCUUUUUGUUGUGGUGUUUCAUCGCAGCAAAGAAACCCUAACCAAGACAAGUUGGUACCAGAAGAGGGGUAUUGCUGUGACGGACCUGACCAUGUUUUUGGGAGGAUUGUGGGAGGACUUAGGAACUUUGGGCUGGAAGAGCCAUUGAGUACGAAGAGCUCUUUGGAAUGUUCUUCAGGAGCCCGGAAGAUAAGAAUGUGAAGGGCGGUUCCGGAAGACGGAGGCCUGGCCUGUGAAGUUUCAGAGGGGAGGUGCAAAGACCCUCAGGGCCAUUCGUUAUUUUGAAUUGAGAUCCCGUGGUUCUGGUCAGCUGGGGCUGAAGAGUCAGCUGUGAUUAACGAGAGACCAGAACUACAAAGCUAAACUCUGCUUUGUGGGGUGCUCGAUGCUGGUCAGCUGGAGCUGAGAAAUUAGCAGUGAUUAAGAAGAGGCCAGCAUCACUGAGGUGAAAUCUUGUGGGAAGUGUUUCCUGAGAGCCCAGAGAAGCUGUGUUCCAGAAGUGGCCAAGGUUGUACGUCGUACUUACAGCUGGACUUGGUCAUGCGUCAGAGUCACCCAGGUGGUGCUGGUUUUGAAGGCAUGAAGGGGUCAGGGAGAGUAGCUGAGGCUUGGCACCAUGAGAGGCCAGGAGAGGCCCCUGGAGAAGGUGCAGCCUCGGCGGCAGUUGAAGACCCAGGGCUGAAGGGGCAUCAUAAAGAAAGUCUCUAAGAGGGUAUUGGUGAAAGCGCAGCCUGGUUGCAGCAGAAGACCCUAGCGUUUUGAAGAUGCCAGCGCCACGGGGUGACCACUAAGAGCAGCAGCAGAGUGGAGUGGAGCCAGCGAGAGCAUCGGAGACUGCUGUGUGUGCUGCAGAGGGAGUCCAGGAGGUCUCGACUGUUUGACUUUCGCGUUGAGUUGAUUGUUAACUGUGCCCUGAUUUUUCCCUCUUGAAAUAAAGUAGUUUGCUAGAGCCCACAGUUGAGAGACUACGAAUUUUCAAAGACUUUGGAUGUUAAAACAAACUGGCUACUUUAAGGGGACUGAAAUUUUAAUGUGUUGAAUUUGUAAAGAUUCCGGGACUUCUAAAGUUAUUCCUGAGAUCUUGGGGAUAAAUCAUAAAGGAAGGGUUGUGUCUUAA